rnacentral:lncRNA from 1 species
AAUCGCGUAGAAUUUCCGUUUAACUCAUUUUCGCCCGAAACUUGACGAGUGCUUUUGUAAUUAAAUUACACACAAAAACAUCGUCAACUGAGAGUUUAGCUACACUGCAAAAGUCUCAGUCCUUACAACUUUAUGAUCAAAUCAUUUCAAAAUUGUCAAUUUUCAAUCGCUAUUAUGGCGAGUUUGGAGUUUAACGGUGUAGAAGAAUCUAAAUUUCUUCAAAUUUUGAUAGAAUAUACUUUAAACUAUUUAGAUUAAGGUUAACAUUCUUAAUCUUGAAUUUAAAAGUUCUAUGCUCAAAUUUUAAAGAUUAUUCAAUUUUCACCGUCCAUUUUGACAUAAUUUAUUUACUAAAUAAACGAUGUCGAAAAAAACUAAAAUUUUAUUUCUAAGAA